rnacentral:rRNA from 1 species
CCCUUAGAUGUUCUGGGCUGCACGCGCGCUACACUGAUGCGCUCAACGAGUUUAUGAACUUGCCCGGAAGGGUUGGUUAAUCUUUUUAAAACGCAUCGUGAUGGGGAUAGAUUAUUGCAAUUAUUAAUCUUCAACGAGGAAUUCCUAGUAAGCGCGAGUCAUCAGCUCGUGCUGAUUACGUCCCUGCCCUUUGUACACACCGCCCGUCGCUGCCCGGAACUGAGCCGUUUCGAGAAAGCCGGGGACUGACGGCUUGUGGGUGCGCAAGCACUUCUUGCCGAUGGAAACCAGUUUAAUCGGUAUGGCUUGAACCGGGCAAAAGUCGUAACA